CUACGGGGGGCAGCAGGGGGGAAACUUCUACAAUGCACGAAAGUGUGAUAGAGCAAGCCAGAGUGAUUCUCUAUAAUUGAGAAUCUUUUGUGAGAUGUAAAAAGUCUCACGAAUAAGGACUGGGCAAGACUGGUGCCAGCCGCCGCGGUAAUACUAGCGGUCCAAGUCGCAAUCAUUUUUAUUGGGUCUAAAACAUCCGUAGCUUGCUUUGUCAGUCUCCUGUGAAAUCCUGCGUCUUAAGCGUAGAAGUGCAAGAGAUACUGCAGAGCUAGAGACCGGGAGACGUAAGGAGUACGAUUAGGGUAGCGGUUAAAUGCGUUGAUCCUUUUCGGACUAUCGAUAGCGAAGGCACCUUACGAGAACGGAUCUGACAGUGAGGGAUGAAGGCUAGGGGCGCAAAACGGAUUAGAUACCCCAGUAGUC
rnacentral:rRNA from 1 species